GAUGAACGCUGACAGCAUGCUUAACACAUGCAAGUCAACUGUGGCUGCCGGGUGAGUAACGCGUAAAGAACUUGCCUCACAGAUAGGGACAACAUUUGGAAACGACUGCUAAUACCUGAUACUGUGAGAGAGCUUUGCGUCCCAUUAGCUAGUUGGAGAGGUAACGGCUCACAAAGGCGCUGAUGGGUAGCCGGCCUGAGAGGGUGAUCGGGCACAAGGGGACUGAGACGCGGCCCUUAGGGCUACGGGAGGCAGCAGUGGGGAAUAUAGGACAAUGGGCCAAAGAGUGAGGCAGCAAUUCUGUGUGCAAGAUGAAGUUUUCGGAAUGUAAAGUGCUGUCAGUUGGGAAGCGGUAACAAAAGAAGAAGUGACGGCUAAAUACGUGCCAGCAGCCGCGGUAAUUC
rnacentral:rRNA from 1 species